AGGGGCGUAGCUCAAUGGUAGAGUACUAGUUUUGGGAAUUAGUGACGAAGGUUCGAUUCCUUCCGACCCGA
rnacentral:tRNA from 1 species